rnacentral:lncRNA from 1 species
GGCAACGCGCCCCACGCGUGUGACGUGCGAGAGACGCGAUGGACGCGCCUUGCUCUUACUGUGCAGGUCCCGAGAGCGCGGGGGCCACUCGCGCCCGGUCGUGUUGAGGACAUAGAAUCAGCCGCUGGAGGGGCCGCGGGCCGCGCGGGCCCUUCCCGCUCUCGGUCUCACCUUAAGGGCUAAGGCGACCGAGAAAGCCCAGUGCUCCAGUAGGUAAAGGGGCGGCGCCCCGCGGGCUGCAGGCGGGAGGGGUCUCAGCGCUGCCCGAGCCCCCUGCUGCCGGCGGCGGCCUCCCGGCGCCCGCUCCCCGAGGGCCAGUGGCCUAGAAAUGUCCAGGGGAUCGGAAGCUACCCCCGCCUUUGCCAGGAGGAAAACUCUCCACCCUCGCGCUCCUUAAGGCGGGUGACGGGGUUGGAACUGUCUUACUGGGCUACGCAGGCUCCUUCUACGCCCUUUGCCCUUCCUCGUGCGUUCGGACCGCGCCUGGCCCAGCAGAGCCGCGCGCCUCCCCCUGCACGCCCCCCCACACACACGUGGAGAGAUCCCAGAGCCCCCCUCUUCUUCCCUCCCUUCUCCUUUCAUGUACGACCCCCCGCCCCCUUGCUUUCGUUAGCCAGGCCCGCUACGUUUAUCUGAUAAUUGAGUUAUUAAAAGAUUUGGUUUCCUUGGGCCCAUAAAUCAAUAAACAGUGGGAUUAACGCAAGAGUUUGCCUUUUAAGUCAAAGGAAACGUUUAAAGCAAGCCCCUUUGAGUCUUGUUUUCAAACUAAACAGGUGAGCUGCAGCUCCCUCCCCCUCGCUACCCCAUACCCUCCCGCCCCCAUGUACUCAUUGGACACUGAAUCCAAGCGGCGUGCCCCCUCCUAAGUGCUCGGUCCCAAACCCAAAUAGAAAGGAAGAAUCAGGACGUAGGAGCGCUGCCCUCACGCUUUUCACUUUGCAAGUUCCUCUGGAGGUUCAAAGGUCUUCUGACCGUCCCCUGUCCAAACCUGCCUCCUCUUACGUGUAUUGUGGCUCUUCGGAGAGCAAAAAAGGGGCGCAGGGGAGAGGAGAGGAAAUGGACCGUUCUAGACGACGAGUCCAACAUGGAAGUGAUCUUUUACUUCUCCCCCGAGAAGGAACUAAGGGCCUCUGGGUCCAAGUCAAAGAUGAUGGCCCCCUCAUGUUGCUAGUGGGAUGGCACUCUGGCAUGAUGCUCUUUGAAGGAGAUGGUACAGGAGAGAAGCCCACAGGACCAGGUGAACUCAUUCUCAGUUGGAUUUCCCUGUAGGGAAAGACAGAAAGGACAAUGGAAUCUACUUUAUGUGAGAUUUCCCACUUUUUGGCUUACUUAUUAAUUUAAAAAAGGGGGGAAGGUUUUCAAGGCUAGAACCAUAAUUGACUGAAUCAAAGAACACCCCCCCCCCAAAAAAAAGGGAAGUAGAAGAAAAAAGAAAACAAGGGAAGUGUGAUUAAGAGGGUGGGAAAUCCACUUAUCGACAAAGAAAAUGGGUAUAUGCUUUUUGUCUCUGGUUCAAGUGAAUUCCACUGAGUUUCCUUUUUAUUUGUUUUUUGGAGAGUGAGG